rnacentral:rRNA from 1 species
AUGACGAUGUCGUCGCCGGCCUCCACCCACCUCCUCCGCUCCGCGCCCGCGGCGCCCCUGCUCCCUCGCCGCGCCUCCCUGCAGCUCUCCUGCGUCGCCAGCGGAGCCGCGCCAAGGAGUAGGAGACGGAGCGGCCGCCUGGAGGUAGUCCGCGCGGCCACCGCGGAGGUGGCCGAGGCCGCCGGCGCCCCCGCCUACACCACCGAGUCCCUCAUCCUCUACUUCAAGGCGGAGGGCACCAUGGAGGAGAGGUCUAUCCCCAAGAUCACCCAGGCUCUCGAGGGGAUGGACGGCGUCAGUGACCUGGAGGUGCUCAUCGAAGAAGGCAUCGGAAGUGUUGUGUUAACGAAGGCGACAACAGUCCAAGCUACUGGGGUCGCCUCAAACCUGGUGGAAGCCAUCCAGGGAGUUGGUUUCAAGCUGCAAACUCUGAGCCUCAGCUUCGAGGACUUUGACAAGGAGGAUGCUGCUGCUGUUUCGGGAGAAGGAGCAGACGUCCAAGCCAGCGAGUGA